ACCCUAGCCAGUGGCCACAAAGGUUUGUUCUCUACAAUUUGGUUAUGUUUUAUUCCAAUUUGGGUCUGUGUAACUUUUGUUUAGGUCAGAUUUGUUGCAUCAUUCUUCACAUCUUUUAGGGUUUUUUUCUUUUAUUACUUUUUUUAUUUGGGUCUGUUGUGAUGAGAAUGUACACUCUCUCACCGAUGGCUUGUGGGAGCUCAGCUUUGACAUCCAUAUGCCAUAUGACAUCCAUCCGAGCCUUCUAGACCCGCCAAAGUCCAAUAACUUCAUGUGUAUGAGUUCAACAAGCGCGAUAGUGGAAGCCCUGCCUACCUACGAUUGAGGCAUAAAUCGGUCAAUGCCCUCAGCGAUCUAGUCCCUUUCAGUAACAAGGUAAUU